UCUAUGUGGUAGAGAAGUUUCUCAUUUUCCUGACUUUGCUUGGAGCCCAGGCUCAGAUACAAACUGGAGGAUAAAAGGAGGCUACUUAAAAUAACACCAGCUAUUUUUAUAAAAGUGAUAAAAUAUCUUGAGCAAGAGAGUGGCUCUUAAAACCAGCCGCUAUGGUCGCUCCUCUUGAUGAAGAAGGUUUAUUCUCAUGACACAUUUCAUAGCUUUAUAAUCUGGGCUAUUAGAAAACAGAAAGCCCAAGGAGCAUUUAUGACAUCUUAUAAGGCUGAGGUUAUUUUAAAAUCUCAUGAAACCAUGGACAAAUAUUCUUCAAAAUCUGAAAGUAUGAUUCUGGGAGUCUGGGUAUGGAGAGAAACACUUCUCCGGUAUUAA
rnacentral:lncRNA from 1 species